GUUUAAAGUAAAGUACGCCACAAUUUAUGAAGCAGAAGAAGCAGUUUGCAUUUCAUGUAAUACCUACCUUGGUUAUGAAGAGAGAGAUAAAGCACCUAUUCCAAGUGGAAUAUUGGGAAAAAAAACAUGCCAUCUUACACAAGAGCAAUUACUAGAGUUGGUGUCAGUCUCAGAUAGGCUAAAAAAAUAAAUGUCUACUUGCUUGACUGUGUUUUAAACCAGGAAAUCAAAGAUGUUGAUGAUAUUGUUCUGGAUCUCUUUAAACUUGCAAGUUUGAGCAGCCAGGAAAAUAUGGUAAAUACUGUCUAUCUGGAGCUGGCCAAGAGACAUGGUAUCAAGUUAAACCCAAAGGAUUUGGGAUCUGUCUGUAAAUGAGAAUCAUGGAGAAUCUGCAGAGUUUUGGCACACCCAAUCUUGUGUACAUGUGGUGUGAGUGCCUACAUGGCAAGGAUGUUCGCCUACAGCCAGACAGGAUGCCAUUUGGGCUGCUGCAAUACUGUAUUGAGUUCUUUAGUUGAACCUAUAUUGCUCAGAUAUCUGAACCACCAGAUUAUAGAUGUUGGCUAGAUACAAUGGAGGCUGAAUUUGGAGGAGGAAAGUUCUUGUGACUCUUCCAUGGGCCAAUGUGGAGUGGAUGUGGCAGACAAGAUAUUGGAAAUUCAAAGAAGGCCAAGCCAAAUAUUCCUUGCAGAAGCAUCCAGGCACAGCUUGCUAUUAUCACUAAAAGUGAAUUUUCUUCUGCACUGGAAAUACAGAUGAAAGCAAUAAAAAUGCUCAAACAAGCAAAUCCUGAGGGAAUGUUGACAAAGUGGAUGGGGAACUAAAGAAGUUGAGUUGUACUUCAACCGCAUAAAAAAAGCAUCACAAGCAAUUGGUAACCCACACAGGAAUAACACUGAACUGAAGGAUGCAAUGAGCAUCUCUGACAUCUUGCUGAAUCUUGUAUUGGUUAGAAUAAUAAAACAUGUUCUUGUAAAAUACACUGUUCUCGAAAUGUAUAGGAGGCAAUUCUGAAACAAUAUAAUGUAAAAAAAAGGUGAUGGGAUAAUGUUAAUGAUAUCUAUAUAUUCUUGUAACAACCAAUUAUUUAAAUAAAACAAGAAAUAGCCUGUU